UAUCGGUUGUAACUCCUUUUCUCCCAGAAGAAUUUUGACGGUUUCUGAGGAAUAAGCAUCGGCUAACUCCGUGCCAGCAGCCGCGGUAAUACGGGGGAUGCAAGUGUUAUCCGGAAUAAUUGGGCGUAAAGCGUCUGUAGGUGGUUGACCAAGUCUGUUGUUAAAAAUCAGGGCUUAACCCUGAUCCGGCAACAGAAACUAGUAAACUUGAGUACGGUAGGGGCAGAGGGAAUUCUCGGUGUAGUGGUGAAAUACGUAGAUAUCGAGAAGAACACCAAUAGCGAAAGCACUCUGCUGGGCCGAAACUGACAUUGAGAGACGAAAGCUAGGGGAGCAAAAGGGAUUAGAUACCCCUGUAGUCC
rnacentral:rRNA from 1 species